UACAGAGGGUGCGAGCGUUAAUCGGAAUUACUGGGCGUAAAGCGUGCGUAGACGGUAGCGUAAGUCGGGUGUGAAAGCCCCGGGCUCAACCUGGGAAUGGCAUUCGAGACUGCUCUGCUAGGGUGCGGAAGAGGGGAGCGGAAUUUCCGGUGUAGCGGUGAAAUGCGUAGAUAUCGAAAGGAACACCAGUGGCGAAAGCGGACUCCCUGGUCCAGCACCGAC
rnacentral:rRNA from 1 species